UCCGUAGGUGAACCUGCGGAGGGAUCAUUACAGAGAAACUCGCCCGCAAGGGUGACUCUCCAACCCUAUGUUAAUUUAUACCUUUGUUGCUUUGGCGAGCCGCCUCGGCCACCGGCUUCACGCUGGUGAGUGCUCGCCGGAGGACCCUAAACUCUUGUUUAAUAAUGUCGUCUGAGUACUAUAUAAUAGUUAAAACUUUCAACAACGGAUCUCUUGGUUCUGGCAUCGAUGAAGAACGCAGCGAAAUGCGAUAAGUAAUGUGAAUUGCAGAAUUCAGUGAAUCAUCGAAUCUUUGAACGCACAUUGCGCCCUGUGGUAUUCCGCAGGGCAUGCCUGUUCGAGCGUCAGUACAACACUCAAGCCUAGCUUGGUCUUGGGCCUCGCCGGAGACGGCGGGCCUUAAAAUCAGUGGCGGCGCCUGUUAGGCCCUAAGCGUAGUAAUACUCCUCGCUACAGGGACCCGGCAGACGCUGGCCAGCAACCCCCAACUUUCUAAGUUUGACCUCGGAUCAGGUAGGGAUACCCGCUGAACUUAAGCAUAUCAAUAAGCGGAGGA
rnacentral:rRNA from 1 species